rnacentral:tmRNA from 1 species
GGGGCUGAUUCUGGAUUCGACGGGAUUUGCGAAACCCAAGGUGCAUGCCGAGGGGCGGUUGGCCUCGUAAAAAGCCGCAAAAAAAUAGUCGCAAACGACGAAAACUACGCUUUAGCAGCUUAAUAACCUGCUUAGAGCCCUCUCUCCCUAGCCUCCGCUCUUAGGACGGGGAUCAAGAGAGGUCAAACCCAAAAGAGAUCGCGCGGAUGCCCUGCUUGGGGUUGAAGCGUUAAAACGAAUCAGGCUAGUCUGGUAGUGGCGUGUCCGUCCGCAGGUGCCAGGCGAAUGUAAAGACUGACUAAGCAUGUAGUACCGAGGAUGUAGGAAUUUCGGACGCGGGUUCAACUCCCGCCAGCUCCACCA